UCGUGCUAGGCGGGGCGCUAGGGGUGCCCUAUUCUCGAAACCCUCUUCAUGCGAGGCCGAAUCCCCGCCCGAGGGCGUAGCUGUUCGGGCAGCACGGCGUGACGUGGUGUUGAGCAUCGGGUCCCGCCACGGCGAGGCGCUGUGAAUUGGGUCAGAUCCGGAAGGAAGCAGCCCUAAGCAGUCAGUCUCGGGUGUGGUGGGAGCGCUCGGUGGGAGCCAGGAAACGCCGGAAGCGCCGGACACGUUACGUUCGACGGCGGGGGCGCAC
rnacentral:SRP_RNA from 1 species